GCUGGGAUAGCUCAGUUGGUAGAACAUGAGAUUCUUAAUCUCAGGUUUGUGGGUUCGAACCUCAUGUUUGGCA